CUUGUUUAUGAUAGGGCAUGGGAAUGCAUUCUGCUAGCAGGUGGUGUUUUUCCAUUUCCUCUUGUAUAUAAACUGCUGGCUGCAAUAAACUGAUGGCAUUUGCUUCUACUGAAUGACUCGAGUUGUGUCCUUCUUAAUCUGCAGACUCUCGACUGGUCUGGUUCUUCACUCUAUGGUGCUGGCGCUGGUGCUGGUACAAGUGUUGUGAUGGAAUCACAUUCAGCAUACUCUUCAGUGUUGUGAUGGAAUCACAUUCAGACCCAUGGAAAAUAGAGCAGUUCCCUGCUUGCUCUUGAGCUGGAAAUCUGUUCUCUAUUAUAAGGAGAGGGGUCCUGUAUAUGCCCAGUGCGAUGGAUAUAUUGGAUGUCGACUUGACUUCAUCUGGAAUUGACUAAAACCCCAAAAUGGCUGUGCACACCUGUGAGGAAUGUUUUCUGAAUUAAAUAAUUUGAAAUGGGAAGAUCUACACUUCUAAUCUGAAUCUUUGAGGUGGGAAGCUCCUGUAAAGGAUACACAAGAAGGAAAUGUCACUCUUUAUCUGCUUGAUUUUGUCCUAGACAGCAAGUCUAUUCCUUUGCUGGCAUUAGAGUUUACUUCUUCAAUAUUCUGGCAUAUACUGAGGCCCAGCUGAGACAUGUAGCCUCAUGGACAGAUCAACUAUUGGAUUCUUGAACCUUCUGUUCAUAGGCAGCCAUUGUUGGAUUAGCUGGACUACAGCCUGUAAGUCAUUCUAAUAAACCCCCUUUCUGCAUAUAUAUUCAUUCUAUAAAUCUGUUACUCUAGAGAACCCUGACUAAUAAACCCAAUGUAGUAGUUUGAAUAAGAACAGCUCCCAUGUGCUCACAUAUUUGACUGCUUGAUCAUUAGGGAUUGGCACUGCUUGAGAGGGAUUUAAGAUCUGGCUUUUUUUGGACUAGGUGUGGUCUUGUUGGAGGAAGUGUGUCACUGGGGUUAGGCUUUGGGGGUUUCAAAUGCCAGGCCCAGUGUCUCUGUUUCUUCCUGCUGCCUGUGAAUCUGGGUAUAGAACUGUCAGCUAUUUCUUCAGCAUGAUGUCUGCCUACAUGCCACCAUGCUUCCUGCAAUGAUAACAAUGGACUAAACCUGUGAAAUUGUAAGCAAACCUCAAUAAAAUGUUUU
rnacentral:lncRNA from 1 species